rnacentral:rRNA from 1 species
UACGUAGGGGGCUAGCGUUGUCCGGAUUUAUUGGGCGUAAAGAGCGUGUAGGCGGCUAGAUAGGUCCGUUGUGAAAACUCGAGGCUCAACCUCGAGACGCCGAUGGAAACCCUCUAGCUAGAGUCCGGAAGAGGAGAGUGGAAUUCCCGGUGUAGCGGUGAAAUGCGCAGAUAUCGGGAGGAACACCGAUGGCGAAGGCAGGUCUCUGGGCAUUAACUGACGCUGAGGAGCGAAAGCAUGGGGAGCGAACAGG